rnacentral:tRNA from 1 species
GCCUUGGUAGCUCAGCCUGGUAGAGCACCUGAUUCGUAAUCAGUAGGUCGCGGGUUCAGAUCCCGUUCAAGGCUC